rnacentral:lncRNA from 1 species
CCCUUCUGUUCUGCUCUAGCAGGUCUCCCUCUCUGCUGUGAAACCCACUGGGAGGUCCCACCCCUUUCCAACCUGCCUUUCAUCCCACCCCCUCCCCCGCCCCCCAUGCAUGCCAUCCAGAGAUCCAAAGCCACCUAUGGGGCUCAGGGUGGCUCUAAGUACACUUUUAGGAUCAGCUUCGUCUUCUGUUACAUGCCUCGUUCCCUUGUGGGAGCAAAUGGGUGGAUUACAACUUCUGGUUGGGGAACACAAUCCUUUUGCCAGCAGCAUCUAUGCACUGUUUCUGUCACCCUGUUACAGGACUAACAGUGUGCAUCUGGCAAAACUACUAGCUGAAGUUACUGGUGCAGUGAGCAAACAUGGAAGAAUUUCUCUCUCUGUGAGGCUAACUGGCUUGCUCAAGUUUGGAAACUGUGACCCUGGUCUGUCAGCACCAUGCUUUACUCAACGGAAAUAA